AUUGAACGCUGGCGGCAGGCCUAACACAUGCAAGUCGAGCGGAUGAAGGGAGCUUGCUCCUGGAUUCAGCGGCGGACGGGUGAGUAAUGCCUAUGAAUCUGCCUGGUAGUGGUGGAUAACGUCCGGAAACGGGCGCUAAUACCGCAUACGUCCUGAGGGAGAAAGUUGGGGAGCUUCGGACGCCGCGCUUUGAGAGGAGCCUACGUCGGAUUAGCUAGUUGGUGGGGUAAUGGCCUACCAAGGCGAUGCCGGGUAGCUGGCCGGGGAGGAUGACCGGUCACAUGGGGACGGGGAUACGGCCCAGACUCCUAUGGGAGACAGCAGUGGGGAAUAUUGCACAAUGGGCGGAAGCCUGAGGCAGCAACGCCGCGUGCGGGAUGACGUCCUUCGGUUGGUAAACCGCUUUCGCCUGGGACGAAGCGUGAGUGACGGUAAUGGGUAAAGAAGCACCGGCUAACUACGUG
rnacentral:rRNA from 1 species